UACGUGCCAGCAGCCGCGGUAAUACGUAGGUGGCAAGCGUUGUCCGGAAUUAUUGGGCGUAAAGCGCGCGCAGGCGGAUUGGUCAGUCUGUCAUAAAAGUUCGGGGCUUAACCCCGUGAUGGGAUGGAAACUGCCAAUCUAGAGUAUCGGAGAGGAAAGUGGAAUUCCUAGUGUAGCGGUGAAAUGCGUAGAUAUUAGGAAGAACACCAGUGGCGAAGGCGACUUUCUGGACGAAAACUGACGCUGAGGCGCGAAAGCCAGGGGAGCGAACGGGAUUAGAUACCCCGGUAGUCCUGGCCGUAAACGAUGGGUGCUAGGUGUAGGAGGUAUCGACCCCUUCUGUGCCGGAGUUAACGCAAUAAGUACCCCGCCUGGGGAGUACGACCGCAAGGUUGAAACUCAAAGGAAUUGACGGGGGCCCGCACAAGCGGUGGAGUAUGUGGUUUAAUUCGACGCAACGCGAAGAACCUUACCAGGUCUU
rnacentral:rRNA from 1 species